CUGAAACAUCUAAGUACCUGCAGGAAGAGAAAGUAAAAACGAUUUCGUAAGUAGCGGCGAGCGAACGCGAAGAAGGGCAAACCAAGAAGCUUGCUUCUUGGGGUUGUAGGACUGCAACGUGGACUUAAGCAUUAUAGUCGAAUAACCUGGGAAGGUUAAUCAAAGAGGGUAAUAAUCCCGUAGACGAAAUAGCGCUUAUACCUAGCAGUAUCCUGAGUAGGGCUGGACACGCGAAAUCCAGUUUGAAUCCGGGAGGACCAUCUCCCAACCCUAAAUACUCCUUAGUGACCGAUAGUGAACCAGUACCGU
rnacentral:rRNA from 1 species